GCUAAAACGGUCCCACACUUCCCUGUCAUCUUUCCUCUUUCUUUCUAAAUGUAUAUGUUUCAGCUUCCCUGAAUGGCGUCUCCUUUUAAAUUGUCCUCUUUACAUCACUGAACCACCCGCCUGUCUUCUCUCUUUCUGCACACCACGCUCUCUUUCUUCUAUUUUGGUGGAAAGCAGUCUCAGCAAGCAAACAUGUCGAGUCUUUUGUUCUCCUGCACAUUGCUGAGGAUCUAAUUCUGAUGCAGGUUGAUAUCUCUUGAUGUCGUGAAAUGGACAGGUGCUGUGGUGCAAAGUGGAACCUGUGACUCACUCGAGAUGUGUUUUGAAGAAUCGGAGCAGAAGGAUGAAGAUGGAGACACAUGAGCUCAAGCUCUGCCUCAGGUGGGCCUGUUUCCGGACAGCAUGGUUUAGUCUUCUAAUUACUCGAGAGUUUUCCAAAGUCACCAUAUGUUCCGUCACACGGGGCUUUGAUAAACGAUAAUGUACUGGAGACCACAGGGAGUUUCUGUACGAGCAUCAAUACAUCUUUUAGAAAGACUUUACUAAAGGCACCAAACUAAUAGAAAGAAUAGUGAUGUUAAGAGAUAGACUUUCUCAUCCUGACAGCAUGGUGUAGCCUGUUUGAGACUAACCAAGAGCUACUGAGAGUGAACUUUACAGACGCUCACCAAAGACAGACUCAGCAGACCAGCUUUGUUUUCAGAUCCCACCAAAAGCUUACAGUAAAAUGCUUUGUAUGAAACUAAAAAUACACACUUAAAUACACAAACUGGCCCUACUUCCUCUGUAGGUGCUCAUAACAACAAAACAGUAGCAGUAGUUAGUCAGCAGUAGCUAGAUAGUUGUUACGAACUAGGGUGACUAUAUGUCCUCUUUUACCUGGACUUUGAGUUUGUGUCACAUAGACUUACUGAGUUAGAAGUGUGUAGAAGACACUCGGUCCAACCUGAGAAACUCUCAAAAUUAACUUUGGGCGACUCUGUGACUCCUCCCCCCACGUGGUCGUGUCCUCUUUUUGGGAAAUCAGAAUAUGGUUACCCUAUCACAAACAAUAUUUAGACAUAUUAAGACAACAGCUAAGUUAAGACAUUAUUUUCCACUUCACACUAAUCCUUACUACAGUUUUAUUUGAAGGCAUUGAUACUUGAUACUGAAGGUUGUAGCAACAGAGGCCUUGGCUUGUUUCGCUGUCAGAGAAUAAAGUGAUGACUCAUUCCAACUAGUGCUGGAUGCCCCAUGUCUGAGGUGACCGUAUUUUCAAACCUUCAAACAGGGAUCUAUUGGGCUAAAUUCAUGAAAUGAAGAAAUGUUUUAUGAAACCUCUUUUUUUUACUUUUCAAGUUUUAUUUUUUGGCCUCUUUUUGACAGGACAGUGGACAGGAAAGAAACCACAGGCUGGAAAUCAACCCAGGAUGCCUGAUAGACG